rnacentral:rRNA from 1 species
UAGUCCACGCCGUAAACGAUGUCUACUAGCCGUUGGGGAACUUGAUUCUUUAGUGGCGCAGCUAACGCACUAAGUAGACCGCCUGGGGAGUACGGCCGCAAGGUUAAAACUCAAAUGAAUUGACGGGGCCCGCACAAGCGGUGGAGCAUGUGGUUUAAUUCGAUGCAACGCGAAGAACCUUACCAGGUCUUGACAUACAGCGAACUUUCCAGAGAUGGAUUGGUGCCUUCGGGAACGCUGAUACAGGUGCUGCAUGGCUGUCGUCAGCUCGUGUCGUGAGAUGUUGGGUUAAGUCCCGUAACGAGCGCAACCCACGUCCUUAGUUGCCAUCAUUAAGUUGGGCACUCUGGGGANACUGCCGGGGACAACUCGGAGGAAGGUGUGGACGACGUCAAGUCAUCAUGCCCCUUAGUUCUGGGGCUACACACGUACUACAAUGCAACGGACAAAGGGGCAGCCAACUAGCGAUAGU